rnacentral:rRNA from 1 species
GUAUAAGAGACAGCAGCAGCCGCGGUAAUACGAAGGGUGCAAGCGUUACUCGGAAUUACUGGGCGUAAAGCGUGCGUAGGUGGUUUGUUAAGUCUGUUGUGAAAGCCCCGGGCUCAACCUGGGAAUGGCAAUGGAUACUGGCAAGCUAGAGUGCGGUAGAGGGUAGUGGAAUUCCCGGUGUAGCGGUGAAAUGCGUAGAGAUCGGGAGGAACACCAGUGGCGAAGGCGGCUACCUGGACCAGCACUGACACUGAGGCACGAAAGCGUGGGGAGCAAACA